UUGUAGAUGAGUGACACUGUUGAGCAGUGAGAUGAACUGUCCACAGUGGUUCCAAAAUCUCUUUCCUGAGCAGCAGCGAUCAGUUUGGAUUCAGUCAGGGUGUAUGUGCAGGUACCUCCAGACAAGACAAAUACAUACAAAUAUAAUUAUGACUGCAGUGAAUAAAAGACUACAAAAGGGGAUCAAUUGCCACAUAUUUUUAGAAGACUUCUAAAAAGAAGAGAUAAGAGAAAUUAAAUGCUACAGAAGCAUACAGAACUCCAAGAAGUUACUGUCCAACCAUCCCAGUAUUAAAAGCAUGGAGGAACAGGAACAUUUCAGCAGACCUCCUCCGGAAAGACACAGGCAAAACAAAACAAGGGCGAGAGGGAGAGAUCACUGUUGAAUAUGGUUUAGUGUCUAAACAAAAGAGCUAUUCUAUUUCAUAUAAUCCCUUCUGAAUGUACAAAGGAUGAUCUAGCCAGACGCUAGCUUCACUGUACAACAGUCUUUUUGUGCUGGCAGUACUAGAAAUAAUUGAUAUCUCUUUAGCAUCAGGAAAAUGAGCUCUGUUGAAUAGUCAGAUACAAAAAUAUGUGUGAAUAUGUUUUCUUGGGGA